GGGGAAUUUUUGGACAAUGGGCGAAAGCCCUGAUCCAGCAAUGCCGCGUGUGUGAAGAAGGCCUUCGGGUUGUAAAGCACUUUUGUCCGGAAAGAAAUCCUUGGCUCUAAUACAGUCGGGGGAUGACGGUACCGGAAGAAUAAGCACCGGCUAACUACGUGCCAGCAGCCGCGGUAAUACGUAGGGUGCAAGCGUUUAAUCGGAAUUACUGGGCGUAAAGCGUGCGCAGGCGGUUUGCUAAGACCGAUGUGAAAUCCCCGGGCUAACCUGGGAACUCAUUGGUGACUGGCAGGCUAGAGUAUGGCAGAGGGGGGUAGAAUUCCACGUGUAGCAGUGAAAUGCGUAGAGAUGCGGAGGAAUACCGAUGGNGAAGGCAGCCCCCCUGGGCCAAUACUGACGCUCAUGCACGAAAGCGUGGGGAGCAAAACAGGAUUAGAUACCCCUGGUAGUCCACGCCCUAAAACGAUGUCAACUAGUUNUUGGGGGAUUCAUUUCCUUAGUAACGUAGCUAACGCGUGAAGUUGACCGCCUGGGGAGUACGGUCGCAAGAUUAAAACUCAAAGGGAAUUGACGGGGUCAUAGCUGUUUCCU
rnacentral:rRNA from 1 species